CCUACGGGAGGCAGCAGUAGGGAAUAUUGCUCAAUGGGGGAAACCCUGAAGCAGCAACGCCGCGUGAGUGAAGGAGUAUUUCGGUAUGUAAAGCUCUAUCAGUAGGGAAGAAGAAAGACGGUACCUGACUAAGAAGACCCGGCCAACUACGUGCCAGCAGCCGCGGUAAUACGAAGGGGGCGAGCGUUAGCCGGAUAUAAUGGGAGGAAAGGGAGCGUAGACGGCUGUGCAAGUCUGAAGUGAAAGCCCGUUGCUCAACCGCGGAACUGCUUUGGAAACUGUAUGGCUUGAGUACUGGAGAGGCAGGCGGAAUUCCGAGUGUAGCGGUGAAAUGCGUAGAUAUUAGGAGGAACACCAGUGGCGAAGGCGGCCUGCUGGACAGAAACUGACGUUGAGGCUCGAAAGCGUGGGGAGCAAACAGGAUUAGAUACCCCAGUAGUC
rnacentral:rRNA from 1 species